AUGGCCCAUAUUUCAUCUUGGCAAAAAAAAAAAAAAAAAAAAAAACACCCAAAAAAGCAUAAAGCAUCCAGACCGUGGGUUUUGAAAGGAUCUUUGCCAAUGCAAGACGAGGCCGAGGCUCCCAAGGGAGCAGGGUACCUCAAGGUACCCUUGCUGAGGUACGAGACCCCCGUCUGUGCCAGGGGGGCUCCGACCUGGCCGGGGGGUGCCCGCUCCUGCCUCGCCCCCAGCUGUGCAAUGCUCCGCUCCUCCCCAUGGCUUUGAUGGGAAGGAACCCAAAGCAGCAGCCCCGAAACACUUCAGCUCCUGGUAUCUCAGUUCAACACGAGCUAGAGGCAUCCUGAAUUUUUAGCCAAACCAAUUCCUUACCAAGUUUCCAGCCAAAUUCGCAGACCCGAGAGAGUCCGUGAAUCACAGAUCAGCAGCCAGACUUCUUCUCCAUAAACUUGCUUCCAAUUACAAAUGGGCGAACGUAAUAUAUGGAGUCAUUAAUCGGUCAAAAAUAACACCAGGAAUUUGAUGUAAUGGGAUCAAUGCUUAGACACAAUGACGAGAACUAAAAACAUUCAGUGUGUGUGCAAAAUUAAAGCUCCCUGGCCAGUAAAAUGAAUUUACUUUUCAAUGCUUCCCUGUACCUUGGCUACCCAGCAUUUAAUGCUGUGUUUGACUUCAAACAUUGCGGGAUGGCUUUGUUUUGGUCACACACACAGUGACCUCCUCUUAGCAUUUAUUCCUCAGGAGGACGGAUUUUGUUUAAAGCAGAACUUUCAGGCUGAAAGGAUUAAUCUUUUGUGUGCUUUCUUCUUCAAAGGGUUUUUAAGAAGGAAUAUAUUUGUUUCAUAGUUUUAUGAAUAUAUAGUUGGUGUGAGUGCUCGCUCCCUUCCCCCUGCUCCCCGGCUUGUUUACUCAGGGACUAAAAACUUGACCUUGGCUUUAAGGUCUCUGGUUUUCCAGACUGUACAGUCAGCAGAGAGAAAGGGGAAAAAUCAAUGCAAGGAGAAGAGAAAUGCCUGAGUGCUGGGAACUCAUCCUGGAAAUGGAAACUACUGAGGUAAUUUGUAAGGCAAAGCUCAUCCCACCGAUACGUUGCUUGCGGCUAAAACCCCACAUCCCACCUUCCGCUUUCUUCACCCCCUCUCUCCCCAGGUGCCCAACACAUCCUAGGGGCCGUCAGAGGAUGGGGACACACCGUGUUUAACACAAACCCAGUGAUGGAGAUCUGGCACAGGGUCUGGCAGUGCCCCAGCUCCCAGCUCUGUCCCCG
rnacentral:lncRNA from 1 species